GCACUAUGGGGGAUGUAUAGCUUAGGCUAAUAUAUUUGGUUUUACAAAUUAGUAAAAAAAGUUUUUUUUUCUAAUUUGUUAAUUUAUUGUUUAAUCUAUUAUAAUUUUGCUUUUGCUCAUGCUUCGUUAGAAGUAAGGCAUUUGCAUUAUAUAAUAAAAAAAAUUAACUGAAUUUAUUCAGACGAACAAAUAUAUAUCGAUUUUAUCGAAUAAAGUUCUAGAUAAUAUAUUGAUUAUGACAAUUGCUAUCUAUAUGUCUUGACCAAAUUACGUGCCAGCAGUCGCGGUAAUACGUAGAAGACUAGUGUUAUUCAUCUUUAGUAGGUUUAAAGGGUACCUAGACGGUAAAAUUAGUCCAAAACAGGAUACAGUUUUACUAGAGUUAUAUAUGAGAAGGUGAGUAUUUAAGGAGUAGAGUUAAAAUUCUUUGAUACCUUGGCGACUGGUAACGGCGAAAGCAACCUUUUAUCUGCUAACUGACGUCGAGGGACGAAGGCUUGGGUAGCGAACAGGAUUAGAUACCCUAGUAGUCCUAGCAGAAAAUUAUGAAUGCCAUAGAUUAGAACCCGAUUUUAGUCUAUAAAUGAAAGUGUAAGCAUUUCACCUCAAGAGUAAUGUGGCAACACAGGAACUGAAAUCAUUAGACCGUAUCUGAAACCAGUAGUGAAGUAUGUUAUUUAAUUCGUCGUUACGCGAAAAACCUUACCACAAUUUGAAUAUUAUCUUACAAGAUAAUACAAGCGUUGCACGGCUGUCUUCAGUUAAUGUCGUGAGAUAUUGGUUAAUUCCUUUAAAUUAACGGAAGCCCUUGCUUUAUUUGUAUCUUUAGCCUGUAUUUUUUUUUUUUUUAAGUAAAAUACUUGCAGAUAAAUAAAGCAGUUCACCUUUAUAUGGGAUAUGACAAUAGGACCAAGACAAGUCA
rnacentral:rRNA from 1 species